rnacentral:rRNA from 1 species
AGAGUUGAUCCUGGCUUAGGAUGAACGCUGGCGGCGCGCUUAACACAUGCAAGUCGAACGGUUAAAGCACCUCCGGGUGUGCAUAAAGUGGCGAACGGCUGAGUAACACGUGGGCAACCUGCCCCCCGCACCGGGAUAGCCUCGGGAAACCGUGGGUAAUACCGGAUACUCCGCCACCCCCGCAUGGGGGAGGCGGGAAAGCGUACACGGCGGGGGAUGGGCCCGCGGCCUGUUAGCUCGUUGGCGGGGUAACGGCCCACCAAGGCGAUUAUGGGUAGCCGGGUUGAGAGACCGACCGGCCAGAUUGGGACUGAGACACGGCCCAGACUCCUACGGGAGGCAGCAGUGGGGAAUCUUGCACAAUGGGCGAAAGCCUGAUGCAAGCGACGCCGCGUGCGGGACGAAGGCCCUCGGGUUGUAAACCGCUUUCAGCAGGGACGAGGCGAGAGUGACGGUACCUGCAGAAGAAGCCCCGGCUAACUACGUGCCAGCCGCUGC